GUUAAAGUUUUUGGUCAAGGUAGUUUUUGAUAAAGUAGAAGUCCAAUCAACUUGAAACUUAGUAUACAUGUUCCCUUUGAUAAGAUCAUUCUAAUUUUAAUGCCAAAUUAGAGAAUUUAUUCCAAUUUCACAGUCCUUUAAACAUAGAAAAUGAUAGUGUGAGUGGGGCAUCCGUGUACUGUGGACACAUUCUUGUUUUUAAAGAAAUUUU
rnacentral:lncRNA from 1 species